ACUGUGUUUUGAUAAACCUUUGGGCUUAGCUAGCACUCAUUCCUUCACUAGGGAUUCGGGGAAAUUACAGCACACGUGUUCUCAAUGGAGUUUGUCAGAUCAACUUUAUACUUGAGUGUUUUUGACUGAUUAAUUACCCAUACAGACAAGUGAGGAGUUCAGAGAAAGGUGACUCGUUCAGAAACUUAAGCAUGAGAAAUACUACUGGGGAGUGUGACAGUAAUUAGAAGAAUGGCAAUUGUUAGUUUGUUUGAAUCCUAUCUAAACCAACUUCUGUGUCUUCUUACAGAGUAAUAAAUAUUGCUUUGUUGUUUUGUUUGAAUACAUUUAUCUUUCUGUUAUUAGAUAUUCUCUGCCUCUACAUUUGUUUAAAAACCUUCUCUCUCCUUUUCCUGUUGAUAGAAGAAUAGCAGAGUUGGCAUGAUAUUGAGUUCUUAUGUCAUACUUUUUAUUUUAAAGUGCUUUUCUUCUUCCUUUAAGAAGCUUAAAAAUUGAAAAGCACAAGUGGAAGCCCAUGUUCAUUUGCCUAUCCACCAUGACCAUUCAUGGCCUUUCAGCAUACGUUCCAGGUCACAGUCUUGCUGGCUAAAUCUGGUGGAGUACCCCAUAAGACCUGGCAACAGUGGUGUAUGCACUCGUUCGACCAAGCAGCAACAGCAGCACAUGCUCUCUCACAGCACACCCUUCCUACCGUUCUGGUGUAGGUACCUGUAGGUACUUGUUCUCCCACUGCUUUACACAGGCAUCCAGUUUGGGUAUAUUAAUUUUUUUUAGGUGGUAAGACAAAUGCUGGUGAGUGAGUCAAGUCCUUUUUUUCAUAUUCCCAAAUGAGUGGAAACAUUUCACAGUGCUACACUAUUCAGACCAUCUCUCUCAGCCAGCAAAAAUACACACAAUGAAAACUGAAGAAGGCAAGAAAGCAAGCUGAGACCUCAUUGAGUCCUCUGUUGCUCUCUGUGAAAGAUGCAGAACAUGAAUGGAGUCUGAUAUUCCUGGAAGUGCGUGAAGAUAAUACAACCCUAUAUGACAAUAAUCACACAAUUGCUUUUUCUAAUACUAGAAAAAUAGUGUUUUUUGUUGUGUUUUGUUUUGUUUUGUUUUUCUUCCCUCCCACCCCCCUGAAAAUGCCUGAUUGCCAUCUUUCCUUCUCUCUCGAUUUAUAGUUAGUAGCCAGCAGAUUCCUCAACUAUGUUCUGGUUUUCCUUAUUUACAGAAAAGUACACAUGGUCCUGUCUAUCAUCUCUUUU
rnacentral:lncRNA from 1 species